rnacentral:lncRNA from 1 species
CGGCUCUUCCCAAAGUCAAAAUGACCGUGAGAGGGAGACAUCUGAACCCACUGAGGACAUCGAGGCAGCCACGACAGCGUAACGAAAGACACUCAGGACAAAGGGCAUCCAGUCCCUUCCCUGUGCAGCCCACGUGAGCAGUGACCACGGAGCCACCCGAGACCACGAAGGAGUCCGGACUACCGAGGGCCUGGCCCAGCUACACUCUGACCUUUGCCUGACCUUCUCCUUCCUCACCCCGACCGAGUGCCUGGGCGAGGGGAGAGACCACCCAGUCCCUGUCUCAAACUAAUAAACGACAGUCCAUCCUAUUUGGGGCCAAAGAACCGGGUUUAUAACAAACACAUCAGUAUCACAGUAAAACUGAAGAAACUCUGAAUCUAAAGAGCGUAGUCCUUCAAUAUCAUCCAGACACGCGCUACACACUCACUCGUAGACGUUAACACUGCAG